rnacentral:rRNA from 1 species
GACGAACGCUGGCGGCGUGCUUAACACAUGCAAGUCGAACGGAAAGGCCCUGCUUUUGUGGGGUGCUCGAGUGGCGAACGGGUGAGUAACACGUGAGUAACCUGCCCUUGACUUUGGGAUAACUUCAGGAAACUGGGGCUAAUACCGGAUAGGAGCUCCUGCUGCAUGGUGGGGGUUGGAAAGUUUCGGCGGUUGGGGAUGGACUCGCGGCUUAUCAGCUUGUUGGUGGGGUAGUGGCUUACCAAGGCUUUGACGGGUAGCCGGCCUGAGAGGGUGACCGGCCACAUUAGUGCUAAGGUGCUGCCGAGCAUCCUACGGCGGGCAGCAGUAGGGAAGAUUGCACAACGGGCGGAGGCCUCAUGCAGCAACACCGCGUGCGGGAUGACGACCUUCGGGUUGUAGAACGCUUUCGCCUGUUGUGAAGAGUGAGUGGCGGUAAUGGUUAGAGAAGAACCGGCUAACUACGUG